rnacentral:misc_RNA from 1 species
UUUCCGUAGGUGAACCUGCGGAAGGAUCAUUAUUGUGUACCCGAGCUGCGAGUACUGUCGCUGCCCCUACACGCCGUCCACCCCCGCUUCCCCUCACACCCAUCCAUCUCCCCCCUGUUUGCGCCACCGCGUGGGUCCCCCUCUGGCUUCUUCGACGGGCGCCUUCCGGCUUCACACAAACUGUGUAUGCAGCGUGUAAUGGAUCCUUUCUUUUUGCGAUCACGCACUCAAUCCAGCUUUUAACCACGGCUCUCUCUGCUCUCGCAUCGAUGAGAAACG